UCUUGAUCAUUUGAAUUGCUAUCUAAAAAUCAGAAAAUAGGAAUUAGAAACCCAAUUCUCAUCUUCUCCACCGAAGCCAUCUUCUCCAUCUUCAUCAUCUUGCGCAACCACCACGGCGGCACCAAUAUCUUCACAAUCCGGCCACCAAAUCCAGCGAUUCAAGCUCGGUUGGAGAGCUAACACACACACGAACAAGACCCGGCGAGACGAUUACUAACGGGACUCGGAACGUGACGAAUGCGAUACCGCUUUACGAAUUCUCGAAGAUUAUGGUUAGCAAGUGUGUUUAUUUCAGGUGAUAGUACCUUAAGGAGAUGGACUUCCAUUUUUGUUCUGGAAGUCUUCAAUAUAUGAAGUAUGUAUUGAAGUACGCUUCAAUUCGUAGCGCUGCAGUAGUUAGUAAAUGUCAGUCUAUUUAUGAUUGUUUGUAUCAAACGAGAUCCAGCUGUUAACUCUGAUUUUAUAAAAUAUAUAUACACGAUUUAUAAAACUAUGUUUUACUCGUUUGAUAUUUUCA